GCCUCGCUCAGUGGGUCAGGGAUCUGGCAUUGCUAUAAGUUGCAGAUGUGGCUCAGAUCCCAUGUUGCUGUGGUGUAGGCUGGCAGCUGUAGCUUGGAUUCGACCCCUAGCCCGGAAAAUUCCACAUGCUGCAGGUGCAGCCUUAAAAAAAAGAAAGAAAAAAAAAGAUACAUUAAAGAAGAAGAACACGAUGAUUGCUAUGAAGUCAGGGUAAGAGAUGAGGAGCUGUCCUUCUAGAGUUAUGGCACACGCAGCUAGGUGGACAGUGCUCCCUUUGACCAAAAUGGAAAUGGUGGAAAAAAAGCAUGUCUUUGGGUUUAGUUCAGGCAUGUUGAGUUUUAUUUGCCUAAAGUGGGCACAGAAGGAAAUCAGAUGAAUAUUCAUGUAUUGCUGAGAGAAUAGGUUUGAAUGGGACAUAGAACUUAAGCCACUUUUCUUCUUAUUUUUCCAUAAUUGAGAUCAUUUUCAACCUGUCUUAGCAUACACCAAAUUAAAUCUCAAACUACCUGCAUACAAACCAUCUCCAGAAACAUUGAUUAAUAUUAUAGGUUUAUUAAUGAGGUUUUGUGAGAGACAACAAAGAGCAUAGCAUACAUCACAUAGCAAACUUUAUACAUAGUUUGUUUUAAAUAUGGCAGCUCUCUUCCAGAGGCUCUUUCUCAACAGUGGCUGCCUCACCUCUUCAUCCUCUUUCUAUAAUUCUUAUUUUUACUUUACCACUGCCACCCCCCCCCACUGUAUUCCACAAUAAACCCUUUAUUUCUGUGUUUAUGUGUAGCUUUCUAUACCUUCUGUCAUUCAUAAGGUCACUUGUCAGUCCUUUCUACAAAACAAAGAUCUAUUUCAGAAGUUUGCCUUCUAAAGAGGCUGGGGUGGGAGGGAGAAGGAGGAUUGUAGAUAAUAAAAUUUUUCUUUAAAAAUAAACAUGUUGGAGUUCCCGUUGUGGCGCAGUGGAAAUGAAUACAACUAGGAACCAUGAGUCGCAGGUUCCAUCCCUGGCCCCGCUCAGUGGGUUAAGGAUCCAGUGUUGCCAUGAGCUGUGAAAUAGAUUGCAGACACAGCUCAAAUCUGGCAUUGCUGUGGCUCUGGCGUAGGCCAGCAGUAACAGCUCCAAUUAGACCUCUAGCCUGGGAACCUCCAUAUGCUGUGGGUGCAGCC
rnacentral:lncRNA from 1 species